rnacentral:rRNA from 1 species
GUCUACAGCCAUGCCACCCUAAACAAAACCCAUCUCGUCUGAUCUUGGAAGCAAAGCACGGUUGGUCCUGGUUAGUACUUAGAUGGGAGACAGCCUAGGAAGACUAGGUGCUUGAGACC